ACUUCAUAAACUAAUAAUUUUCAAAUAAAACCUUUAUGUUAAAAAAAUAACUUGAAUGAUAAAAUAGAACAAGAUAAAAUAUAAUUUUACAUCAACUCUGAAUACAACAAAGAGGGAAAUUUAGAAAAAAAAUCCUACUGGAGUUAUUUAUAGACUGUAAUAACAAGGUAUCGCAGGCGAUACAAAUCCCACGGGAGUCAGCUAUAGACUGUUAUAACAAGGGAUCGCAGGUGAUACAAAUCCUACUGGAGUCAUCUGACUGUUAUAACAAGGUAUCACAGGUGAUACAAAUCCCAUGGGAGUCAGCUAUAGACUGUUAUAACAAGGUAUCACAGGUGAUACAAAUCCUACUGGAGUCAUCUGACUGUUAUAACAAGGGAUCGCAGGUGAUACAAAUCCUACUGGAGUCAUCUAUAGACCGUUAUAACAAGGUAUCACAGGUGAUACAAAUCCCAUGGGAGUCAGCUAUAGACUGUUAUAACAAGGUAUCACAGGUGAUACAAAUCCUACUGGAGUCAUCUGACUGUUAUAACAAGGGAUCACAGGUGAUACAAAUCCUACUGGAGUUAUCUAUAUACUGUUAUAACAAGGGAUCACAGGCGAU